CGAUCGCCUUCAUACAAACGGAGAUGCGGGGAUGGGAGGGUGCAUCGAGGACCACCACGUGACGAAAACUUCACCAAAAUUUAUAAACACUACGAAGCUUCGGUGAAUACGUGUGACGCUGAACUCAGCCUCUUUUUCAACACGGAGCUGCCAUACUGCGAGCAGGCUGUCCGUGGAAUAAAUCACGAUG